CAAUAGCGUAUAUUAAAGUUGUUGCAGUUAAAAAGCUCGUAGUUGGAUUUGUGGCGUACGGUGUUUUCCGGGCACUUGUUGUCUGAGUAACCUGCUGUUGCCAUCCUUGGGUGGAACCUGUGUGGCAUUAGGUUGUCGUGCAGGGGAUGCCCAUCAUUUACUGUGAAAAAAUUAGAGUGUUCAAAGCAGGCUUAUGCCGUUGAAUAUAUUAGCAUGGAAUAAUGAGAUAGGACUUUUUUGCUAUUUUGUUGGUUUGCGCAAAGAGGUAAUGAUUAAUAGGGACAGUUGGGGGUAUUCGUAUUCCAUUGUCAGAGGUGAAAUUCUUGGAUUUUUGGAAGACGAACUACUGCGAAAGCAUUUACCAAGGAUGUUUUCAUUAA
rnacentral:rRNA from 1 species